AACUUGGAUUUUUAAAAUGAUUUGCAAUGCGUGGGACACAAAUCCAGAUGUUAGAAAAGAUAUUGAUAAGAUUUUAAAAACCCUAAACAAAGAUAGAAGCAAGCAAACAAUAAAACCAAAACAAGAUGCAAAAAUCUAUCCACUCAACGAACGUAGGCAGUUAUCACAGAAAAAGACCCGCUGUUUCCAAAAUGAAAAAGCAGAAAAACAUUACCAGAGUAAAUCUGACCCUGAAAAUCUCGAAAAAAAAUUUAUAAAUGAUUACAAAGGCUUUGGAAUUUUUACAACAACAGAAAUAAGCAAAGGUGAAUUUGUUGCUGUUUACCAAGGAGUCUUAAAAAAAAAGAAUGAAAUGAAAGAGCUUGAAAAAAUUUAUGAAAAUGAAGGCUUUGGGUCGUAUGUAUUUAGUUUCAAACACAACAAUGAAGCAUAUUGUAUUGAUGCAACCAAAGAUGAUGGUUCUUUUGGUAGGCUAGUUAAUGAUUCUAAAUACUUUCCUAACUGUAAAAUGGAAAAGUUAACCAUAAAGAAUAUCCCAUUUCUUUGUCUUUUCUCAAUAAGAAAAAUAGAAAAAUUUGAAGAAAUUACCUAUUGUUACGGUGAAAAUAACCUUGACUGGCACGCAGCUAACAAGGAUCGAAUGUUCAAGUAGUUGAUUUAGUUGAAGACAAUAAAUCCAGUUUUUCUUUUAAAGAGGACAGUAAUGCAAAUAAUUCAAAUUUGUUUUUAACGGAAAUGAGUGAUGCAGUUGACUUUGUUGUCAGCACUUUUGUUCAGGAUUUUAUCAAUAAUUCAGCAAACAUUGAAUUAACCACUGUUAGCAGUACUGUUAAUGACUUAUCGGCUGAACCUCAGAAUACGGUUAAUAGUUCUUCAUACCCUGAAUUAUGUGAAGUGAAUAGUAUCAUUGAUGGUGUUUUGGAAGAAGCUCAGAGCUUCAUCAACACUUUAACAAAUUCCGGGUCAAGUCACAUAAGCAGAACCGGUAAUUGUGUAUUGGAAUCUCAGGAA